CCUACGGGUGGCAGCAGUGGGGAAUAUUGCACAAUGGGGGAAACCCUGAUGCAGCGACGCCGCGUGAGUGAAGAAGUAUUUCGGUAUGUAAAGCUCUAUCAGCAGGGAAGAAAGUGACGGUACCUGACUAAGAAGCCCCGGCUAACUACGUGCCAGCAGCCGCGGUAAUACGUAGGGGGCAAGCGUUAUCCGGAUUUACUGGGUGUAAAGGGAGCGUAGGCGGCGAUGAAAGUCAGAAGUGAAAGCCCGGGGCUCAACUCCGGGACUGCUUUGGAAACUGUAUGGCUAGAUUGCAGGAGAGGGAAGUGGAAUUCCUAGUGUAGCGGUUAAAUGCGGAGAUAUUAGGAGGGACACCAGUGGCGAAGGCGGGUUGCUGGACUGUAAAUUACGCUGAGGCUCGAAAGCGUGGGGAGCCAACCGGAAUAGAUACCCCUGGUAGUC
rnacentral:rRNA from 1 species